rnacentral:rRNA from 1 species
GACAGAGGGUGCAAACGUUGUUCGGAAUUACUGGGCGUAAAGCGCGUGUAGGCGGCCCUGCAAGUCGGAUGUGAAAUCCCACGGCUCAACCAUGGAAGUGCAUUCGAAACUGCAGAGCUAGAGUCCUGGAGAGGAAGGUGGAAUGCUUGGUGUAGAGGUGAAAUUCGUAGAUAUCGGGAGGAACACCAGUGGCGAAGGCGGCGACCUGGGCCAAUAUUGACGCUGAGGUGCGAAAGCGUGGGGAGCAAACAGG